rnacentral:rRNA from 1 species
AUGAAGAUGGCGACUUGCAUUCGUAAGGUGGCCUCGGAGGAGUUUGGAGUGUCCAGGGGAAGGAGAAGCGAAGAUAAGGAUACCUGGUGGUGGAAUGAUGAUGUCCAGAAGGCGCUUAAAGAGAAGAAAGAUUGCUUCAGACGCCUAUACCUGGAUAGGAGUGCAGACAACAUAGAGAAGUACAAGAUGGCGAAGAAGGCCGCAAAGCGAGCUGUUGGUGAAGCAAGGGGUCGGGCAUAUGAGGACCUCUACCAACGAUUAGGCACGAAGGAAGGUGAAAGGGACAUCUAUAAUAUGGCUAAGAUCCGGGAGAGGAAGACGAGGGAUAUUGGCCAAGUCAAAUGCAUCAAGGACGGAGCAGGCCAACUCUUGGUGAAGGACGAAGAGAUUAAGCAUAGAUGGCGGGAGUACUUCGACAAGCUGUUCAAUGGGGAGAAUGAGAGUUCUACCAUUGAACUGAAUGACUCCUUUGAUGAGACCAGCAUGCAUUUUGUGCGGCGCAUCCAGGAGUCUGAGGUGAAGGAGGCUUUAAAAAGGAUGAAAGGAGGCAAGGAGAUGGGCCCUGAUUGUAUCCCCAUUGAGGUGUGGAAAGGUCUCGGGGACAUAGCGAUAGUAUGGAUAACCAAGCUUUUCAACCUCAUUUUUCGGGCAAACAAGAUGCCAGAAGAAUGGAGGCGGAGUAUAUUAGUACCAAUCUUCAAGAACAAGGGGGAUGUUCAGAGUUGUACUAAUUACCGUGGAAUUAAGCUGAUGAGCCAUACAAUGAAGCUAUGGGAGAGAGUCAUUGAGCACCGCAUAAGAAGAAUGACAAGCGUGACCAAAAAUCAGUUUGGUUUCAUGCCUGGGAGGUCGACCAUGGAAGCCAUUUUCUUGGUACGACAACUUAUGGAGAGAUAUAGGGAGCAUAAGAAGGACUUGCAUAUGGUGUUCAUUGACUUGGAGAAGGCCUAUGAUAAGAUACCGCGGAAUGUCAUGUGGUGGGCCUUGGAGAAACACAAAGUCCCAGCAAAGUACAUUACCCUCAUCAAGUACAAUAAUGUUGUGACAAGUGUUAGAACAAGUGAUGUCGACACCGAUGACUUCCCGAUUAAGAUAGGACUGCAUCAGGGGUCAGCUUUGAGCCCUUAUCUUUUUGCAUUGGUGAUGGAUGAGGUCACAAGGGGUAUACAAGGAGAUAUCCCAUGGUGUAUGCUCUUUGCGAAUGAUGUGGUGCUAGUUGACGAUAGUCGGACGGGGGUAAAUAGGAAGUUAGAGUUAUGGAGACAAACCUUGGAAUCGAAAGGGUUUAGGCUUAGUAGAACUAAAACCGAGUACAUGAUGUGCGGUUUCAGUACUACUAGCUGUGAGGAGGAGGAGGUUAGCCUUGAUGGCCAGGUGGUACCUCGGAAGGACACCUUUCGGUAUUUAGGGUCAAUGUUGCAGGAGGAUGGGGGUAUUGAUGAAGAUGUGAACCAUCGAAUCAAAGCCGGAUGGAUGAAGUGGCGCCAAGCUUCUAGCAUUCUCUGUGACAAGAGAGUGCCACAAAAGCUAAAAGGCAAGUUCUACAGGACGGCGGUUCGACCCACAAUGUUGUAUGGCGCGGAGUGUUGGCCGACUAAAAGGCGACAUGUUCAACAGUUAGGUGUGGCGGAGAUGCGUAUGUUGAGAUGGAUGUGUGGCCACACGAGGAAGGAUCGAGUCCGGAAUGAUGAUAUACGAGAUAGAGUUGGGGUAGCACCAAUUGAGGAGAAGCUUGUCCAACAUCGUUUGAGAUGGUUUGGGCAUAUUCAGCGCAGGCCUCCAGAAGCUCCAGUGCAUAGCGGACGGCUAAAGCGUGCGGAGAAUGUCAAGAGAGGGCGGGGUCGACCGAUUUUGACAUGGGAGGAGUCCGUUAAGAGAGACCUGAAGGAUUGGAGUAUCGACAAAGAGCUAGCUAUGGAGAGGGGUGCGUGGAAGCUUGCUAUCCAUGUGCCAGAGCCAUGA